rnacentral:rRNA from 1 species
AUACGGAGGGUGCAAGCGUUAAUCGGAAUUACUGGGCGUAAAGCGCGCGUAGGCGGUUAUUUAAGUCAGAUGUGAAAUCCCUGGGCUCAACCUAGGAACUGCAUUUGAAACUGUAUGGCUAGAGUAUGGUAGAGGUGAGUGGAAUUUCAGGUGUAGCGGUGAAAUGCGUAGAGAUCUGAAGGAACAUCAGUGGCGAAGGCGGCUAUCUGGACCAAUACUGACGCUGAGGUGCGAAAGCGUGGGGAGCAAACAGGAUUAGAAACCCUAGUAGUCC